GUUUCGAUUUGUGUAGGGCUGAUAAAGUGAAUGUGCGUGUCAAUGCCGCCAGCCGUCAAAAUUAAUCCUUCGCCUGCAAUCGCUUCCGUACCGGCGCCGAACACAAGAGAUGGUGUAACGCCGUCCAUAAUAUCAGGAUUGCCGGCUUUUCCGAUGCCGCAGAUUUUGCCGUCCUUGAUGCCGAUAUCCGCUUUGUAAAUGCCGGUGCUGUCAAUGACCAGAACGUUGGUAAUCACGGUAUCCGGACAUUCCCCAUCGGGCACACUGCACGACUGUCCCAUGCCGUCACGC
rnacentral:sRNA from 1 species